GUGCAAACUGCUGCUGUGGCACCCUGCUAUGACAACUCUGAUGAGGGUCCAUGGUCAAUGAUUGUUAUCUUAUAUAGUUUGUAUGGCCUGCUACCCGUGCCCUGCUACAUACAAAGCAGCAGCCCCAUGAUUAGUCUUAUGAGCGACACCUGUGUUAGUCCUAUGGUUAGAGCUCUGUGAAAGGGGUCCAAAAUGCAAUUAUAGACAUGGAUAUAAUUGUCUAUAAUAAUCUAUGAUUCGGAAAUGUGCUUAUAUUUCAGAAUUUGGGAUUUUAAGAUGUUCCAACCUGCUGUGCAGUCUCAUUGGUGGACAUCAUGGCUGGAUACUUGGAAGUGGGAAUGCAUCAGAUUCUAACUCUUCCUCAGACCGCUAUUAAAACAAAGAAUAUCCAAAGGCUAGCCAGAAACCCAACGGAUAUGCAUGCAAAGAUUCGAUCGGGGAGAUGAGGGAGGAUCAGCAACCACCCACCCGCAUUUGUUUGAUCCUUGUCUCCUUCUUUCAUCUUAAAUGAUAGAUGGAUAUAAAUGUAUAUUAUGUAUGGUGGGCUUUGGUGAGUGUUUCAAAGUAGUUUCAAAUCACUACAUUCAAUAAACUUUAUUUGGGCAAAAUGUAUUUGAACUAUUUCAACUGACUGUGAACUUUGUGCCAAUUUAUUGCCACAAUUGCCUCACUUCAGGCACAAAAUAAAGCCUAGUUAUUUGUAAUGGAACAUCUAACACACACCGACACAUGUUUAAUCUGUCCGCCUGACUGUUGAAGAGGCGUAGCACCUGAGAGCAAGGCACCGCUAGUUGUUUAAGUGUGGAUGUGGCAAAUCUGUGGCCCAAACUGAGAUGCUGCAUUUGAGUAGUUCCUUCCAUUUAUGAGCCAGGCUUCUUGCUCAUAAAUGUGCUGCUAUUUGAAUGCAACGAGCUCCAGUUAUGUUCUUCUUUUUGCAUACAUAGAUUUUUCUGUGUAUUGUUACUUUCUGUAUUGUUACAGAUGGCUGGGCAGGCAGUUAAUAGAAAAGGUAUUCCUAUCUAGACCACAUAAUGUUACAGUUGUCUCUGUGGUAAUGGGGGAAAAUGUUCUCAGUUAUUUUAGCUCUCAUAAAGCAGUCAAAGGUGUGUUCAGUAUGGAUACACAAUUUUUUUUUGGUAUUUCAGGU
ensembl:lncRNA